CAGAAUAAUAUUUUACGAUUAUCUUUGUUGCCAGCGGAUAAUUCCGGAUAAUUAUACCUGUCUUUUACAACCCAAACAGCAGCACAAUUUUUAUGGUCACAUUAUGGAUUUGCAAGAAUUGAGUACCUGACGUCUGUGCGUCAAGACAUAAAUUAGCAAUAAAAAUGGAGAUUGUGCACACGACCUUCUCGCGCACCAGGUUUAUGUUGUAGGACACCACAAGCGAUGAUUUACAACCAGUAACU
ensembl:ncRNA F11D5.21 ncRNA